rnacentral:rRNA from 1 species
UCGCGAUGCAUCUAGAUUAGAGUUUGAUCCUCGGCUCAGGAUGAACGCUGGCGGCGUGCCUAACACAUGCAGUCGAACGAGAGAGAGAGGUGCUUGCACUUUUCAAUCGAGUGGCGGACGGGUGAGUAACGCGUGGGUAACCUGCCUCAUACAGGGGGAUAACAACUGGAAACGGUUGAUAAUACCGCAUAAGCGCACAGCAUCGCAUGAUGCAGUGUGAAAAACUCCGGUGGUAUGAGAUGGACCCGCGUCUGAUUAGCUAGUUGGCGGGGUAACGGCCCACCAAGGCGACGAUCAGUAGCCGGCCUGAGAGGGUGAACGGCCACAUUGGGACUGAGACACGGCCCAAACUCCUACGGGAGGCAGCAGUGGGGAAUAUUGCACAAUGGGGGAAACCCUGAUGCAGCGACGCCGCGUGAGCGAAGAAGUAUUUCGGUAUGUAAAGCUCUAUCAGCAGGAAGAAAAUGACGGUACCUGACUAAAAGCCCCGGCUAACUACGUGCCAGCAGCCGCGGUAAUACGUAGGGGCAAGCGUUAUCCGGAUUUACUGGGUGUAAAGGGGCGCAGGCGGUUUGGCAAGUCUGAAGUGAAGCCGUGCUCACUGCGG